GGUUGGUUCUAAGGUAGUGGGUUAUCAUUAUUCUUUUUUUUUCCUUGAGCCAGAAUAACACACUGAAGGUGAUCAGAACUUAUGAACAUUAAUGUCACUAAGGCUGGUAUACAACUCCCACUGCUAAAUUUGACUGCUCUAUA
rnacentral:sRNA from 1 species